rnacentral:rRNA from 1 species
AAACUUUCAACAAUGGAUCUCUUGGUUCCGGCAUCGAUGAAGAACGCAGCGAAAUGCGAUAACUAGUGUGAAUUGCAGAAUUCCGUGAAUCAUCGAGUCUUUGAACGCACAUUGCGCCCCCUGGUAUUCCGGGGGGCAUGCCUGUCCGAGCGUCAUUGCUGCCCAUC